rnacentral:piRNA from 1 species
UGGCAGGUGACUCCCUCAGCAGUGUAUGCCCU